rnacentral:rRNA from 1 species
UGGGGAAUAUUGGGCAAUGGGCGCAAGCCUGACCCAGCCAUGCCGCGUGAGUGAUGAAGGCCUUCGGGUCGUAAAGCUCUGUGGGGAGGGACGAAUAGCCGCAUGGUUAAUACCCGUGCGGUCUGACGGUACUUCCUUAGCAAGCACCGGCUAACUCCGUGCCAGCAGCCGCGGUAAUACGGAGGGUGCAAACGUUGCUCGGAAUCAUUGGGCGUAAAGCGCACGUAGGCGGCUCGUUAAGUCGGAUGUGAAAGCCCCGGGCUCAACCCGGGAAGUGCACUCGAAACUGGCGAGCUUGAGUAUGGAAGAGGGUCUCGGAAUUCCCGGUGUAGAGGUGAAAUUCGUAGAUAUCGGGAGGAACACCAGUGGCGAAGGCGGAGACCUGGGCCAAUACUGACGCUGAGGUGCGAAAGCGUGGGGAGCAAACAG